rnacentral:lncRNA from 1 species
UUUGCUACCAAAGGUGAUAUCUUUUAUACUACGUUCGUUAUAUAAUUUAUGCAUUGUCUUUUGAUAUUACCCCUUAUUUGUAGCUAUAUGUGAGAUUUGGCUUCUAACACUCACAUAUGGUGCAUAUCUGAUUUUGUCCUUAAAAUCGGGUAUUACAAGUACAUGAUAGUGAUGGUAAAAAUGUAUAGGUGAUAAUAAAACUUACUUCUCAUUGCUCCUCAUAUUGCUACCUCUCCUCUUCUUUGAUCUUUGCUUUGGGAGAACGUGGGCUAUCUUUUUUCUUUUUUUCAGGUGGGUAGUAGAUACCCCAAAUUCUACUGUCGGACACUUGUCCAUUUUUUCCACUCAAGUGGCCAUCUUUGUACCCCUAAUUCUACUCCGGACACUUGUCCAUUUUUACCUCUCAUCUCACUCUUUUUUCUUUCUUUUCCGAGGUUCCGGGCACUUGCCCCUUUUUAUUUCCUCGCAUAUUUUUGCAUAACCCAUGCCUCUUUUGCAUAGAAUCUUUUUAGAGAGAGAGAAAAACAAUAUUUGGGACAGUGAGUGAUAAUAUUUUUUUAGCAGUUUUAAUGAAUGGUGGUGAAUGGUGUGUGUAAGUGAAUAUCUUAAUUUAACCACAUGAAAAGCUCCUAAGGGUCUACACAGCUCGAUCAAACUCAAUGUAAAUAUAGUAAAAGAUGUUAUAGCAAGUAUGGCUGUGGUAGGUAGUUUGUAAUGCUAGGAACUCAUCAUGUGAUUUAUAAGUUUUCAAAAUAAAUCUCCAGAACUUAGUGUAGUAGGAACAAGAUAAACAGCAGGUCAAACUUUAUAUUAUGUCCUUUUGCUUACCUAGACUUUAGUUUUAUGCUUCCCAUAGAUAGUAAUUUCAGUUUUAGUAAUUCCUGGAAGAACACUAAUAUAAAAAGCUAGGUACUUGUAACAGAGCAACUGUUCAUCAUUUCCAUCAUGCAUCUUUUUGGUCU